rnacentral:rRNA from 1 species
AAACUGACCUCAAAUCAGGUGGACA